UUUUUUUUUUUAAUUAUGUAUAUGAAUGAAAUCAUUUAUUGCCAUUAUUAUGUAUAAAUGCAAGGAUAAAAAACCUUAAAAAAAACAGUACUCCAACAAGCUGACUACAAUUGCAGGAAAUAUGGCCUUCACGGAUUUAACAAAAAGCAAUGACCAGCAAGAAAUUACGAAGAAGCUCAAUGAACAACUUGAGGUGCAAAGAAAGCUCCAUGAACGCUUGGAAAUUGAGAGACAACGCAUGUACCAUAAAAUGAUGCAAGAGAAGAUGAACAAAAAACAAUCAAUAAGGUCCAAAAUUUGAUGUUCGAGCUACAAAAUAUAGGUAAAAUAAAUAUCUCGAAUUAAUAUUGUUGUCGUUAUCGUCGAAAUAACGUUUUAAGCAAAUAUAUCAGUGUAAUAAUAAAUUGGACAAUAUUUUGCGAGUGUAUUCCGUGGUGGCUGAGCCAACAUAAGACUAAAGAGGGCCACGACCUCCCAACAUUUCUCAAAUCUCUAUUAAUUUAUAUAGAAUUUUAAUUUUUGUGU